rnacentral:lncRNA from 1 species
AUUCACUAAGUGAUUGAAUUAAAUAUAAGCAAUUGGAUAGAUGUCAAUCACCUCACUGCCUUGCUAAUUAGAACCUAAAAGGUUGUUCGCCAAAACACUAUUGUGGUGAGUAACUAAUGGAUGAUGGAAACAAUUAAUUGGAUUAAUUAUGUGUUGUGAUUAAUUUAGAAAAGUCUAAAGAAAUCAUAAAAGCGAUAAAGAUCAUUUUGGGCUUAAAGAAACGUUCGGGUUUAAUUGGGCCCAUUGGGCCUAAACCCAUUGGGCUUUUAUUCAAGCAUUGGAUGACUUGAAAUAAAUGAAAGCCCAAAGCCCAAACAACACAAAUAGGGCCGGCCAUAUUAUGUGGGGAAGGAGAGAUAUUUGGUCAAGUGUUGACUAGGUUUUCUUUUGUCUAUAUAAGGAACUUUAUAGUGAUAAAGUUCAUUAGGGGUUUUUUGAAGUGUUUAAACAACAAAGAGGCAAAAGAAAAAGCUCUCUAACACAUCAAAGGGCCGGCCACCAUUGGGGUGUUUUAGCUAACAA